AGCUUGGCUUGUCAUUGGACUAAUUUUUGCGACUGAAAUAUUGUGGCAAGUCCGAAAAUUAAUGACGGUGUCGUGUUUGACCCUAAAUGCAACGAGCUUUUCAUAGCACGCAUUGAAGUGGUUGACCGACCCUUGGUCUUUAAACUAUACAUUUUUUUAAGGUUGACCUCGGAUCAGGUAGGAAUACCCGCUGAACUUAA
rnacentral:misc_RNA from 1 species